GGCGAUGGUUACAGACAGGGCAUUGAAAAUCCGGACGUCACACACACCGGCUUGUGCCCAACACAUGCCUUGAGUCCCAGGUCCACUUCACGCACUGGUUAUUAGUGUCCAUUUUAUUUUAUAAUGUGGGUAUGUAGUGUGAUUGAUAUUUUAUCCAUUAGACGUUUGGGGAUUGUGAUUGUGAAUGUUCUAAAUUAUUAAAAGUUCAUGGACGUCUUAAAUUAUUUUGCUUUUGCCUAUGUUCUUAAAUGACUAAUUAAAUGAUAAUUUCACACAUGUCAAUAGAUUGAUAAACAAAACAAAUGGGAAAAGACACUUUCUGGUUCUCCAAAGCUUCGAUGUGGCUUUUUCAAAGGCGGUCUACUUUGUAACAUCAUUAUUAAAGGGACAUUUUAACAUUUUACGCUAAACUAAAAGACUGUUUUUCUGUCAUGACUAGUGUAAAUUAUCAGUGGAAGUAAUAUCAGUAAUAUAUUCCAUUGUGUUACCUCUGCUAGAACUCAUAGCAAUUAACGAAUAUUGUGAUGUGGAUGAUGAUGAUGAUGAUGAUUUUAAUUAUUAAUAAUAAAACAACUGGGAAGAUGGCGACAUAUUCAGCAACUUUGAGUAAAUACCAGUUAUCAAAUAAUGAGACAAUAACCUGACUGCAACAGUUAAUAAACCAAAACAUCCUGUAACACUGAUUUAGCAGAAAGUUAAAGGCCUUCCUGAAUAAAAAGGUGUUUGGGCCAGUCUUAAAAGAGUCCAGGGUCUUUGUUGCCCUUAUUUGGGGGACUGCUCCAAAAGAGUAAAAGCCCUGUCGCAUUGUGAGAAGCUUAUGGUGGAGCUUGGUGUUGGGAAACGAGUAAAGGAAAGGAGUAGCGGUCGGAGGUAGACGUGGGGAUGUGUGGCGGUGCAAACCUCAAGCCAGGCUGAGGGUGCAUCCCUGGGAUGAACAGCACCGUCUCCAGCUGGUGAACCAGAGAGCUGCUUCAGAGGCACCGGGUCCUGCCCGCCUGAUGGUGAUGCCGCCAUAAGGCAGAGUACUAAACGAGCUUUCAGAGGGGCUGCAUGGCCUCAAUCUGCCAUCUGAUUCCUCCAGCUACGCUGUGGGGGGAACACACACUGUCAAAAAGCGUUGUCUUUUUUGUUUCACUUUAAAGAGCUGUUUUUAAAAAAUCUGCUCGCUGCUUCUGGGUGACUCACAUUUCUUGGGUCGCAGUUCCGUCGGCACGGACUUAAUUCAAUGUCAUCACGUGAUACAUGGACUUGUGGGAAACACCUCCACCAGACGGUCUUUCAAUGGCCCAUUUCCAUCCGAAAAUAAAGCCUAUUAGUUUAAUAACAUUUUUAUGAUAUAAAUGAGUUUAAAGUAUGGUUAAGCAAACUAACACCAAACAUUUUUGUCGGUUUUCUCCAGACAUCACACCAGUAAUGGAUUCAUAUAGGAGUCGGCAGUGUUCGGUUUCUCUGGUUUUAGUUUAAUAAAGAUUCAUUUGAAUUAUUUGACAAUGCUGACAGGGGAAGCAGCUUUUGAGAUCUCUCUCUCUUUAAUAGCAGAACCACCGCAAGUGGAGCUGUGCUCGUCAACCUGGCCUCCAUGUGCUUCAGGCACCGGCAGAUCAAGGCAUCCGCCACUUUGGUGACCCAAUAUCUCAACCACAUGUGGACAAGUCCCGCUAGUAAUGCAAAUAUUUUGUUUUCAUACAUUCUCCCGCUGCCUCCGGGCAACGUCUUCAAGUAGGGAGGUACGAGAUGAAGCCGAGCUGGAGCUUCCUGCCGAGAGCGGGGAGGUAAAGAAAUCCAAGUGUUCUCUGAGAAAACGUCUUAAUCUUCUGCGCCGCGGUUGCAAAGAGGAAGCUGUCAGAGGCCUCUGAUGAUUGAAAUAGGGAGCUGCUGCUUGGCUGUAUUUUCUGCUUCUACUGCACACAACAACAUUGUGAUGAAUAGGACUUUUCAGGAGUCAACCCACCGGCUGCAGUUUCAAAUUAUAAGCAUUACAUGUCAUUUUUUGCAAUUACAAUAGAGUCCCACGGGUAAUUCAUCAUCGGUUAACAAUAUAAACACUACUUACUUAAUGAUCCUAUCAUUGCGGAGUCUUCCUUGGAUGAAUUCUGGGUUUUGUAGCAAGCACCAGAACCAGGUUUAACUUUUAUAGAUUUAAAUUAAAUGGUAUCCACUCGUCUCGUCAUAUAGCAUAUCAAGGAGAGGUAUAUAGGGGUGAUUAAAAGGUUUUCUGAAGAGACAUGGUGUUCGCAAACACUAAAAUCUUCCUCCUGUGGUGUAGCUUGAACAUGAAGCAUCAAGUCAAUUUGUUUUUCCUUAUUUCAAAGAUUCAAAGACUGGCUCCUUUUCAGAUAAACAGGGAGUAGCUUGAGGUUUUUUGCUAGGUUUAGCCCUGGCCACUCGGAGCUACUGUCUGCACACUCCCACUUGACCAGAGCGGCCUGGCAGGAGCGUUCUCCUUAAACAUCUGUCUGUGAGGUAUAUCGGUCGGUUUCAGCAUUACCUCAUAUUUAAAUGCCAGUGUAUGACUUUAGAAUAGGAUUGAUGUGGUCUGACCUUUUGGUCCCUACGAGCACUGCAGCAAGCCAAAUAAGCUGAAGCUUUCUGAUGGUCAGUUUGAGGAGCCCUGUCAGAAGAACAUGCACAAGUCAACUGUCACGGUGUGGUUUAUUUCCAAAACCAAGAAAUUCCAAAGGGCCAAGGGGCAAAAAUACCAGCAGAAACCAAGAACAUCCAACAAUCAACAAUGACAAGAGACACAAGUGACAAGAGACACACACAGCUUAAAUACACUAGGGAGGUGCAGGUGAUUGGUCACAGGUGGAAACAAUCCGACAAUCACAGGGGAUGACAGGACAAGGCAGGAAGUGAAGUUACCCAGGGAGACAAGAAGGAGAAAACUACAAAAUAAGACAAGAAAUAAACUACACCGUGACAUCAACACUGCUGUAAAUAAAAUAAAAUGUUUCCAGGUCUGCUUUGACAUCAAGUCCCUGAGUGUGACUGUAUUUGUAUGGUAAUGAAAAAAAUGUAUUUUGUGUUGCUAUUUAGACAAAUCACAGUCAACUAUAAUGGUAACCACUGGUCAAAAAUGUUGAAUUUCAUCAUUUUUUCACCAACAAAAUAUUAUAAUAAAAAAGAAACGAUUGCUAUGAUUACGACACUGAAAUCAGUUUGUCUGAAUGCAUGUGUCAUUCUGUUUUCAUUAUAAAAUGUGACUUCCACAUUUAGCGAAACCACUCGAAAAUUUUAAAUGUCAUUUCAUAAUGUGAAAAAAUGUAAUGUAAAUGUAAAAUGUAAUGUAGCAUCUGUUUAUUACAAAACGCAGCAGGUCAUCAGAAACAGUGUUAUAGGAACAGCCAUAUUUCUCUCUGCUUCAACUACGGAUUGUCGGUGCAGCAUGUUUUACUUCUUUUCCCCAUCCCCUUCCACUGAGGCACUGGUUCCCAUGUCUGUGUGAUAUGAACCUAUUAGUGUCCAUCAGAGUUACAGAUUAUUACAUCUGCAUUAUUCUGUCCCUUUUGCACUAAAUGGACAGAAUUUAAUUAAUUUAUUCCUUCGAAUAGUCAGCAGUGAAUUAACACUUCAUCCCAGUCAUUUCACAGUGAUAACAUGACUGAGCAAACACUCAGCUUGUUAUUUAUUCUGCACACUUUCCCAUCUGUGUGUGUUGACAGUUUGCAUCCUCUGUUGAGUUCACGUUUAAUCGGAUUAUAUAUGUCUUAUAAUAAGAUCCCUUGGCUUGGAGGAUUGUUGUUUUUCCACACUCAGGGACUUGACACUGCAAGCGAUGAGCUCUCGCUCUCAUAGUGGCAUCUGGAGCUGAGCUCUCUCUGAAUGCCUCUCGACCCUCCAUUGUUGAAGGUGAAGAGGUGAAGGUAUUAAGAAACAGUUGUCUAUCGACACAUCAGCUUUCAAAAAAUCUCUUUUGCUGCUGAAGCCUCCAUCAUGUCCCCCCGCUGCUCUUUUACAAUAAGCAGGGAGAGUACAGUCAGAUACUUUUACAGGUAGAGUAUAAUUAGAUAUUUUUUAGAGUAGAGUACAAUCGGAUACUGUAACAAGUAAAGUAGAGUACAGUCAGAUACUGUUACAGGUAGACUACAGUCGGAUACUGUUAAGUAAGGUAGAGUAGCGUCGGACACUGGCACAGGUACGAGCAGCAGUGCCUCGUAUUCAAUUGCCAGUGUAGUCAGAUACUGUUACAGAUAAAGUAAAGCAGUCAGAUACUGUUACAGGUGGAGUAGAGUACAGUCAGAUACUGUUACAGGUAGAGUAGUACAGCCAGGUACUGUUACAGGUAGAGUAGUACAGCCAGGUACUGUUACAGGUAGAGUAGAGUACAGUCAGAUACUGUUACAGGUAGAGUACCUGCAGCUGUUUCCUCGGCUGCUCUCCACUAUGAGCCACACAAUAACAGCCUCUGUAAAGCUCACCAAUUGUAUAAUAAAAUUGGUGAUUUUUUGGUGGUUUCUUUUGUGUUUCGGUAAAAGUGACACAUUUAACUGAAUAUAGUGAGUAAAUGGGAAAUAUAGAUCAAUGCAGCUUUCAGUACAGAGGUAGCAUUGACUUCCAUCCCGUCUUGUUCAAGGAGACUGAUGCACUAUUAACAAUGAUGUUGUCAAUGAGAAUGGGUGAAAGGAGCGUAUGUGUGUGUUUGGGCAAAUGAGGCAGGGUUGGUGUGUAUGGGGGGGGUGUCAGCUUCAGCCCGAACACAAAGACUUCCGUAUCUACCUGCAUAACGGGGAUGUCUAUAAUCCUACCUGUAACGCCCCUACCUCCCCUUUCCCAUCUCUGCUGUCUUCCCCCGUACACACUCAUGCAAGCUGUCCAUCACAGCCUAGGAAUAGAGGGAAGGGGUGUGAGUCUGGAGAAUACGCAGUGACGACUUACAGACUGGCUACCUGACUAAACAUAGCAAAGCCCCCCUGUCUGUGGUUGAACUAUGCCUGCCGUGCCUUGUCUUUUCCCCGAGUCUGGUCACAGGGGUUGGUGGAGGGGGGGAGGGGGAUCCCCCUCACUGCCAUGUGGGGGCGCUGUGGAGCUACGCCUGCUGCAGGUGUGAGACCCUCAUGUUCAUUCUGCUCUGCACUGGAGGUUAAAAUUAAACAUUAAACAUGGAGGAAAAUGAGAAGAGGGGGUGCGCAUAGGGAGGGUCGGGGGAGAUUCUAUUCAUGAAACGUCUACUUUCUUUGCAAAAUCGGACAUAACAGUGGGUGGAUGAUUCAUUGCUCGUGAGGGGCGAACUAUUCCGGCAAAGGAUGCAUAUUUCGGGCUUUGACACCUUUUACUAACAGUCCCUGUUGUGUUGUAAAUACCCACGGUCCCGAGGGGCGGGGUAAAUUUGUGCUCGGUUAUCAACUCACCAAAGAAAAACUACUAUGUACAAAUCAAUUCAUCAUAUUCACAACAGCGAGAGGUCUCAGGAGGAGAUGUUCAGAUGCUGGCUUGGGUUGGGAGUGGGGGGGGUUAUUGUUAGGUAUCUCUGGGGUAAUGUGAAGCAAUGGCGUGUGGAUUUUGACUUGAUGCCAUUUUGUUACGGUUCAGCGUUAUUGAUGUUUGCCGUUUUUGGCACAACAGCAUCUUUGAGGUUUUUCCAGAGUUUAAUUUUACAAUGUCGCCACUGAUGGCAAACCCGGGCCCUCUCUUUGCCGUUUCAGGAACAAAUGUGAUGCAACCCAGUGGCUGACAUGUCCAAAGGGGGCGGAUUGAGCGGCUCAAUGCAGUGGCUCUGUGCCGCGCAGCCAGUUUUCGCUAUCAUGACCUUGUCAACUGACUGCCACUCAAGUCAGACCUCCGAGGGUUUCUGCUUCCUUAGCCGAGGCCGGCGCUGUGACGGACCAAAAAAAAUCUCACUGCUGCGCAAUUCCCUUGAGACGCCACAUGGCAGGUAGGCAGCAGUACGGAAAGGUUUUUCUGUGAACUUCAAGGAACGAUGCCCCGCCACCCCCCAAAAAACUGAAAACAGAGAGAGAUUACAGACUCAACACAUCGGCCAUGGCUUGAAUUUUCCUUCUGAAUUAAGCAAUCAGGGACAAUUGAAGGACUUGGUCAAAGAGUCACACAACAAAGUGGUUUUGUCAUUGUGCAACCAGAGAUUUUGUGUCGGGAAGAAAGUGAAUUAAUUAAAUUGCAUUGGUUAGCGCCUAAGUACUUGACACUGGUGCCCAAUUAAGAUCUGUAAGGCCUGGGGCACGAAACACUGGAGGAGCCUAUAGAUUUUUAAUAGCAAAUACAUGACAAAAGUGCUACUUUCGACUUUGAUAACCUUGUUUUAAUUACGCAAUUACAUGGCCGUCUCCUAACCCUGCUCUCUUUGGUGCAUUUAAAAGCAGCCUCCACAUUGAGGGCCAUUUGUUCAGCGCUACGUCAGCUUUGAACUCGUGGGAAAUAAUAUGCAAAAAUCUUUCCUUUGAUGCAGAGCAAAGUGCGCUUAUUAAACAAUUAUCAUAGUUAUUCUCGUAUUAAUCCCCCAGAGAGACUGCAAAUUAGCAGGAGGGUUUAAAAUAGACUUGUUUAAUAGGUGACUGUAUGCCCCGCGGCACAGCAAUGCGCCGCCGUCAACACACGUUGACGAUGUCAUGGUUCCCCGUUGCUGUUCUGUCAGGGAAGCUCCCCAUGAGGAAGACAUGACAGCUCUCCCCGGCUACGGAUACAGUGCUCUUGAGUCCUUUUUACCUCGAUAAGCCUCCGCAAUGACGGAGUGUUUCGGCCCACAUGGCACACACACACCGCAGUAAAGUGCAGUCAUUAAGAUGUUUGGUUUCCCGCGCGUCUCCAUCUGAGAUUGAGUGGUUUGGUGUUCUGACGCUGCGCAUCCCAGAGAGUGGCUGUCAGUCAGCAGCUCCAUUUCUAUAAAUUGUAUAGUAAAACUAAAAUAAGGGAGUCUAGACUGUAUGGCAGAAAUGACGGGAGCAAAGGUUAUAUGUGUGUCAGUGUACCUUCUGUCUGGGUCUGUCGGCCCUGGUUCAGACAGUUUGAAGAGAAAGAAUACUAAAUUAAUAUUUUAGCUAGCAGUUUGCUUCCACUUUUGUGUCGAUUGUGAGAGCGUAGGAGGUGAAAGAACUGAAAAAUAACUAGAAAAGGCAGUUUAUGAAGCAGUACAAGCUUUCUCUAAGGGUCAGAAACAAACCCCAGGGCCAGACGACAGACAGACAGACAGGCAGACAGUCAGACUCUGCAUACACACACAGGUCUGACAUUAGGUUCUGUUUUCUCCUGAUCAGUCAUGUAUUUCAGAAUUCAGAGCUACACACACUUAAUCCAAUAUAUAUUUUUACCCUCCUUGUGAUCUUGUGAGAGUCUCAUCCCGCCUCUGUUUGCCACUGUUGUUUGCGUGGUCAUCUGGAUGGUGUUUCUUGUCGUCCUGAUCUUCUCAUUUUUAUUUAAAGAUGUUUCUAUUAGGACAUUUUGGCUUUUUUUAAAUUCUGCUUGCUCAUAUGAUCGAUUGCAUCAUUUCUUUCAUCUCGUUUUUUCUACCAUCACAUUUGAUCAACUGUAUUUUUCCUUCUUGACGCUCAGCUGCUGUUUUAUUGCUGCACAAAUAGACCUACAACCUGUUUUUGUUUGUGCAUCUAAUCCACUUUUUCUGCCACCAUGUCUCGGGCUGACUAUAAAUCAUCUGGCUUAUUUUUCUCUAACGUUAUAACCCAUUGGAGUCGGAUGAAAGAAUUAACCACCUGCCCCCCCACACACACACACACGCAGUACAAUGAUAAUAGACGAAAGCUACGGAUGAAUAUUAAUAAAUGAUGAUGAACAUCCUUUACUCUCUCCAAAGACAAUCUCUCAGCUGGGGGAAAUGUAAAUGGUUACAAGCGGUAGUAGCAGGCAACGGAAGAGUCCAAUAAAAGUGAAGUAGGAGGGUCACAUAUAUUAGAAUUACACCCGAAAACAACUCUGCCUGCAAUGCCAAAAACACCCAAUAAAUUCUCUGUAAAAGGUAUUUACAGUUACUAACGCUCAUUCGAACACUCAGAUAUUGUGUGUUAUUUAUAGUAACCCAAGUACUUUACUUGUAACACCUACAUCAUUGCUUAUAAUAACAGAGGAUGUGAUAGGAGUGUCGAAGAUGGCGGUGGCUGAUUCUGAUUCUGCUGAUGUAAUGAUGAAUCAGCAAAGUACGAUGAAUGAAUUGCGGGCAAACAAGUAAUAAAGUAUGUUUUUGCCUGUCAUGGGGUUGGGGUGGGAGACUCAGACAAUGGUAGAGGAUUUAAGGUUGGAAUGUAUUCCUCAAAGCAGAUACAAACUAAAAGGCCAACAGGAACACAAGGAAACACAUGGUUUAAACACACUGGGGAGGUGCAGGCAGAAAAUCAUUAAGGUGGAGAAACACCGGGGCAGGAAGUGAAUUAAACCCAGGGACAUGAGAGGCAGGAAAUACAAGAAAACAAGAACAAGAAAACAAGAAAAUCCAACCCAACAUUAUGACAAUCCAUACAUAGUAUAUCUACAUAAUCUCCAUCGGAUGCCAGGAUAGGGUAUUCCUUAAACACUGUCUCGUUUCUCUCCUCAGCCCCCCCUUCUCUAACUGAGAAUGUUGGUGAGAAGAUAAUGUUAACUAUAAAUAUUAAAACCAGUCACAGAGAAUAUCAGGUUUAUUUUCUGCAUCAGAGCAGGGAGGAAUCGAGAGAGGAAUCAUCACUUUACGUCUGUUCAAGUGUGAGCUGUCGAUCCCAAUUGUGAUGUUGAAAAGUUGCAUGGACAUUAGUUCAGCAGAUUUGAAUUGUUAUAGCUUGUGAGUCAAAUCUGAUUCGGCAAAUCUGAAUAUUUUCCUCUGGAGUAGAAGUGUUUUUGAAGUGCCUUUGGGUUCUUUUGUAACAAUAGCAUCUUUCAAAAUGACAAACAUUGAAUACAAAUGCCAUAUAAUAACGAUAUUAACGAUAUUAAUAGUCUUCAUAUAUCCUACAUGUUUGGUUUGCAAUGAGCAGACAUUUAGCCUGGAGAACUUAUAGGAGAAAUCUGGUCAGCUCCGCACUGACUGGUGCACCCCCCAUCACCCCUCCUACUCUGGCCUCCUUCUCCAGCCCGAGGAGCUCUCCAUGGUGCUCACACAUUCACAGCAGAGCUUAACCGGACCCGAGGAACCUAAUCGAUCCACUUAUUAGAAAAUAGUUUUUUCCCAUAGAAAAGCUGGUCAGACUGGAAGCUGUGAUGAUCUGCAUCGUGAAGUGAGGAGGACGCACUCCCACCCCCUUUACACCUCACACAUGCUGUGGCAUCGUUAAGAUCACAAUGGGCUUUAUUGGCCAUGCAUGGGCAAUGUGCUCCUCCCUGUGAGUCCGGCCUUGAAGACGUCAUGCUCCUCAGAAUCACACUGGCCGUGGGUCAUUGAUCGGAGCAGUUACUCAGCCUCAGCCUCAAACGGCUUAUUUUGGAAAUCAACAUGACUCCAGGCUUUUGGUUUCUGAAGGGUGCAGCCUGACGGAGAGCACCUUUAAACAUCCCCUCAUACGAUCUGUGUUUUAACUGCAUUAUAUAUUCACUCAAUGCGCACUUACAGGCUUUGCGUCGGAUCUUCUACGACGUAUCCUUGUUUUCACGCACAAAUGGACUUUGAAUGGCCAUUGAGGAGAUGGUGGACACUGUGUACUACAAGAUGGGAUGACGACGGAACCAUCUCCAUGGCAACUGAGAAAACACAGAGGAAGACCGUGAAACACAGUUGAUACAAUCAAUUUUUCAAAUAAACAUCAAGUGUUCUAUUAAAUGUCUCUCUAGCGGUUCUGGAGCUUUUGAUUGCCAUCACAUGAGCUUCAUCAAUGUCAAGUUUGACCAGUGCUCCGUUAGUUGUGGAUAACUUGAAAACCUGGUUUUAUUUAGAAACAAAGACCUCAAAAUACAUGAUCUUCAUAAAAAUGGCUUUCAGAGGUGUCUCGUAACAAGUUUCAGCUUGUAUCCCAUCUCAUGCAUGUUUAUUGGAAUAGGUCCCCCCAGGACGGGACAUCUCAUGGAACAGGCCUUCUCUCCUCAGGGCCCACGCUACGCACUCUUUUUUUUGCAUCCCUUAAUCAGGUGGAUCAGACCUCCAUGCUUUAUUCUUGAUGGACACUGUACACACUGUAGAUGAUGAAGGGGAAACGUGUUUACCCGUUGGUAUCAUGACUACGCGCCCUUUGAGGGUGUGCUCAGCUCUUCACAGUGGAUGGCAUUGAUUGCACAGGGAGAGGGGGUUGUCAUCAGUCUGGCUACGUGGCUGCAGUUUCCAAAAAAAACUGAUAUGAAGAAUGAAAUAUCUAUAAUUGCUAGGACUGUCAACAUAAAUGCAUUAAUCUAUGCGAUUAAUGCGGCCGCGAUUAAUCCAACAAAAUAUUUUAACAUAGUUAACGUACGUUUGUUUACUUCUGGUUAACUGAAGUUGACCGUGGAAACAAAACGGCCGCUAACUGCAACCAGUUACAUCAAGAUGGAAAGAUUUUUGCAUUGGAAGUAAAACAAACAGAGGCGCAACAUACAGUGGUGCAGAGGAAUUACUCCACGUGUCAAACAGAAAGUGAGUGAGUGACAAACGGACCACUUAAAGCACUGCUAGGCUAAACUAGCUGCCAGGCUAAGGUAGCAGCUAGGCUGCCUCCAUCUCAACAUCUAACGUUACCCUGUGCGGCACACAGUCUGCAGAGGACCACCACGGUGUCCCUAAAAGACCUUGAUUUGAAAACGUUCUGGCUAAAUGUGGGGAGAUUGUUGGCACUUCAAAUACAGGCGUUACAUUAUGGAGAGUUGAGAGCAGAGUGCACGAGGACAACAGUUCAACAUGUUGAACCAUAAGGGGAAAUUCUACCUCCAAGAUGAUCAAAUGUGUGUAGUUUUGUGUUUAAAAUAACAUUAACAACAAUUACCGUUUGGGGUUAAUUGUACAGUAGUAGUAGUAGUUGUAGUAGUAGUUAUCCUUUAGAAGAAUUCCCUGCAUAAACGUAAUGCUGCAAUGUUUCUCAUUGUCAUAUUUAGUGAUUUGGGGAUUAACAUCUGGUAGUAUGCCCAGUGCCGAUACUCCGUUACCUCCAAAUGUUCUCUGAGCACCAGCCAAAGUUUGCUUACAAUGUAUGAUCGUGUUUAGAAGCUUGCAGCUCUUGGUUGAAGAUGGCUGAGGACUGUGUGAAAUGUGACAUUUUCACACACAAUAGCACAAACGGUAUAUUUGAACUCUCUUAUCAUCUUUUCACCACACAUGAAACACAUUGAAUUCAUACAAUUGAAGACACAAUAGCAGAAGCCCCGACCGCCCACUAUGAUAGAGGUUUAAAAAUACCUUUACAACUAUACUCAAUGAUCCAGUAUGGGAGCCAUUAUGUACCAGCCUGUGCUCAGUUUCCUCUCCUCUCAAGUUACAACUUGAAACAGUAUAUUCAUGUUCGCCCUGAUGUGAACAUUGUGUGCUUUAAAUGAUUUUGCCAGAGAACACUUUAAAAUGCCACUUCGAAAAAAGUGCAGGCUGAUCACUCCGAGAGGGAAAUGCAGCAAUGUUAUAUCACAGACACACACACACACACACACACACACACACACACACACACACACACACACACACACACACACACACACACACACUAAUCUGCUUCAUAUUGCUUUUAGAAAGGCUCAGAGAAAGUUUGAUUAAAUAAAAUGCAAAUCACAGUGAUUUUACACUUGACUUUGAAUGUAACUGAGAUGUUGCUUCAUUGGUAUUCAGCCGAGCAUUAUAGUGAUCCUUACUGCACAAUACAAAUGAAGCUGCAGAGGCUCUCAGCAUGAAUACGCACAAGGGAAUGUCAUUCAGCUCUGUCUUCUCCAUCAUUAUGUACACCUCACCAUCUAUUGUUUGGAAUCCAAACACUCUUUGAGCCAGCAGGAAUCCUGUUAUUGUGGAUCAGAGGAGAAGGGGUCAGGCUGGCCCUGGGAGCUCGAAGCACUGCGAAUGAGAAAACAUAUGCAAGUAGGCAAAACACAAGCACAAGAAAUCAUUAUCCCCAGGUUCCCAACAAAAUGCUACAAAUGGAGAAAAGACCCAUUGAUGUGCAUGAAUAGGGAGACAUUUUCUUACUUUGCUUCUGUUUGUAGAGCAUUGAGCUUUAAAAGAAAAAAUCAUAUUUGAGCAUGAGUGGUUACAUUGUGUCAUGUUAUUGUUAUAUACCUGCUACGACCAUGUAAUAACUGUUAAGAGGUCCUGCUCCUGUCUGUGCAGUCACAUCGCUCCCGGAGAGGAGGAAAGAGGGUCGGAGCUUUUAGAUAUACAUAGGUUUUAGUGUUUUUCCAACUACAUUUGGAUCUUUUAUUAUUUUGUCACCGUAUUGGGUGUGAUAUCAAGCCUAUUGCCGUUUGAUUGCUUCAGUGCUGUCUCGUUUAUGCAGAUUUUACAAGUUUUAUAUCCCAUCCCCAUCUUUUAAACCAAUCUUUUUCUGCAGACUACCUGAUGUUUCAACCUGCUGGCUUUCGAAGUCUCCGCUCAGCACCACCUCAGCUGAUAGAAGAUCUGCUCCACCCUUUGGUAGCCACACUGUUUACAGCAGUACAGCCCCCCCAGUCUUCAUGCACGGAUAUUUAAUGUCAAAAGAUUUCUGGCUUUUCAUUUGAAAUAUUUGCAAGAAUUGUUGGUUUUAUUUUAGCGGCCAAAAAAUCUGCAAAUUGAGGAAGUGAUGACUAAAUGAAAACAAUUUGGGUAUUUGUAGCAAAGUGGUAUUCAUGACCAACCACCAUUACUGAUGCCCUUCUGAUGGCAUUAUUGUAUUAUCAAGACAACAGGUAAAUAAGGUCAACAUUGAUUGUACUUGUUUACUUUCAACUGCAGUUAAAAAUAGAUCGCAUUGAUUGAUGUUAAUGCAUGUGUUCUGAAGUGUUUAUUUUUUCAUAAAAAAUGUUUCUGCAUCCCCAUAGACUAAGCCUUAAAGUUAGUUAUAGCCAAAGCCUCUACCAUUUACUCAGAACUACUCUUAGGUCUAAUUCUUAAAUGUUUCAGACUGAUAUGAAAAUUACCUUUAAACCUUAAGCUGUCAUUACAUUCACUUACAGCAACUUCAUUCAUUUUGGAGAUGUGUAAUGACAAAAGCACAGGUUUGCAAGAUCUUUGUCAACUGUCUAAAUAUCUAAAUGUAACUGCAGUGUUCCCCAAUAGGUUGAUCGCGAUCAACCAGUCUGUCUUGAAGGCAGUACCAGUCGAUCGCAUGCAAUCAAUUAAAAGAAUGACCCAUAUGCGCGGCCCAUUCCCGCGGGAGAUGACCGGAACUAAUGCUAAUUAGCGACCCUUGCUUACUAACGGACGCAUUUAAUUUUAUUCUAAAGAAUGUGCGGGAUGCUUGUGACGGUUCCCUCCUUGUGACAGAUGAGAGGCUAGUUGUUUUCUCCAUAUCGACUCGUUUUGCGCUGACUUCAGUCCUGCUGUUCCACUUGGUAACCGUUAUUACGGUCCCCCCCCCCCCCGCCGGGCGGUCCUCCAUGGGGAGGGAGGAGAUCGCCAUGACUUGGUCAGUUGAAAAGUAGCUCGCGAGCCGGAAAAGUGUGGGCACCCCUGGUCUACAGGGACACCGGUGAUUGCCUUGGUCUCUGUGGAGGUUCAUUUUCGGCUUGGGGUUCCAAGUGCUCGUAGCAGCUGUUCAGUCUCUGUGUCUCCUCUUGUGUAUCUGUGUAAAUAAGCAAUGCCUUUUUUCAGAUUGGAUCACAGUAGAUUGGACCACACCGGCUGAGAGGUCUUCUGGGAUGCUUGGCUCCAUCUGUUCCGGUACCAAGCAUUCAUCAUGCAGCCAAGUAGUAAGUCUGGUCAUAUAGUGAAACAAAUAUCAUUGAAAAUGUAUGUGUUAAGCACUUAGGACACAUCUUUUAUAGUAUUUUUAUUGGACACUCCCUGCCUGCUACAGGUUUCUAAGCCAAACCUACAAUACCAAUGUUGUGCUGCAAAAGUGGAAAUAACACCUGAAUAGUCUUGUAGCCAAUCUCAAGAUACCACAUGUGAGUUCAUAGAUGCAGUAAGCCAGGCCUAGAUGUUCCACCACUGGUCCAGGCACUGACCCAUAAAGAAAUGACCAGAUGUUAAAAUGCUCCUUUCCUAUUACCUAAGGGUUGAUAUUGUCCAAUAGCACAACAGCUCCUUGUGCUUUAUCAACCUGUUCACAAUCAGUCACUUUUAUGGCUUGUAAGGGAAAAAUGUGUUUUGUGGGUUCCAACACGUUUCAAUCCCUCGUUUCCAUAUAAUCAUAAUUAGUGUUCAGAUCUUUAUGUGUUCAGAUCUUUAUGUUCACGUUUGUUUAAUGUGACUAAAUACGCUUUGGCGUUCAACUGAACACAGUGUGUUUUGGAACUCAUCCAUCCAAGUUGUUUGAUGAUGUAUUUCUUUGUCCAGCCAUAUUUAGAAACUUGGAGAGACGAGGUGGAGGCCAACAUGAGGUUACUAUAAACGGAUAGAGGAUCAUUUGGAGCAUUGUGUUAAAAACAUCAAGAAACUGGUUAUGAUCAGAACCCAAAUAAAGGAGAUGGAGACGUCCCCCCCAAUAUGAAAUGAAUGAAUGCGUCAAAUGUGGUAUUAUUAUGUACAACUGCCUCGUAUGUGUCUUUCUGGAAAGAGCUUGUUUCAUUAGAGUCUGUGUGAUUCCAAUACAUCUCUGUGAUUUGAAACAUCUGAAUGUCCAGUGUGUUCUGUGUGGGGGUGUUACUGAAAGUCCUACGUACCUCACCACAUGUUAAAGUUAGAAGAUAGAGUUAAUUAGUCAGAAGGUUGUACAAACUGAAAUCCACCACCAAAGAGGUUGUGGUCUGUCCCUUUUGUUUCUCUUUGACUCCGUUUUACAUAGCGCUUGUGCAGCUACAUUUUGAGUUUUAAGUUCAGCUUUUAGCUUCUCUUCUAUGGUAUGAUGAAGCGAUUAAGAAGACUCAACCUCCCCCGCUUACGUUGACCGAGAUGAUAACCCCCCCUUCUUUUGUGUUUGAUGUUGAGUUCCCUUGGUGAUAGUGGUAUUUGGGGGCUAUUGUCAAAUCUAUCACACUAGAUUCCAUCUUUCACCUGUUGCUCUUUUUUGUCUGAAGUGAGCACAAUGUUCCCCUCUCACACUCUCCACAGUAAUGACCCAAUGUUCUGAAAGAAGAAAAGCCUGAGUCCUUGGGGGAUGAGGGGGGCGGCCCAAGCGUGGACUGUAUGCCCCGAGGCCCUCUCGCUCCGCUUAUAGAAAAGUCCAUUUUAGCUUCCUCACACGCUGACCUGCAACCACAAACAGUGGAAGCUGAUUAAAAAUAUGGCAUUUCUCUUUUUGCUACACAACAUGAUGUAUGUGGCAUUCACAGUAUCUAAUAUCAUAUAGGUAGUGUGUCCAAAAGCACAGUACACCACAUUGGCAUCUGUCAAGCAACAUCGUUGCCAACCUUGCACCAGCAAAUUCUUAUGAUGGUGAGUGAUGACUAAGUAUUCAUUAUUUUGAAAUGAUUUAGUUGGCUAACGUUAGCUAGUUCUGAUUAGUUAGCUAUGGGGGCGUGCUAGCUAACCUAGCUAAGUUAGCCAAUGUUAGACAGAGUGCAGUCGGUGAGAGAAUUUUUUGGAAAGGGGGUGUGGCUUAUCUCUGUAAAGGCAGUUAUCAUUUCCGCUAUCCACUAUGGAAAUACACUAUUUGUGCUCUGUACCUGUUGUGGAAAUAACACAAACGUUGCACAUUAACUUACGAUCUUUCAAUCUGAGCUGUCUGUCUCGGUAAGUGACAGUUUCAUAAAGUGUAUUCACGCUUUGGCAGUAGGACGGCGGCGAUAACGAGCGGAGGAGAGGAUCUCAAUGCUGAUUGGCUUUCGCAGGACAGCGUUGUUGAAAUAUUUUACCUUUGGUGAAAAAGCUAUUCAUUCGCUUCUCUCCUUUAGCUUUUUCGGGUCCCCCAUGCAGCAUUGUGUUGAGAAUUUGCGUUGAAAAUUUGCUUCCUCCACAAACAUGCGCUUCUGUGCAUUGACUUUGCAUGGAAUCUACUCAUUCAAAUAAUUUGCUUCGCUUUUGCUGUGAACAUUAGUGAGACGCAGUUGACUGGUCUCAAGGUUUAAAUAUUUAGUGUUUUGUUUUUACAGAAGCAUGAAGUAAUCGGCUCAAUAACAUUCUGCGUUCUGCAAAAUGGUCAAGCUAAACACGAGAAACUAAAAAUAAAAUUGAAUGAGUCUGAUUUAUGUUUUCUGUUUGAUUUGGUUCAAAAGAAAACUGUACAGAAUCUGUACACUACUGCCUAAUAGUCUUAUUAGUGCUAUUUGAUGACAAUUACACAUACAGGAAAAUAAGUUAAUUUAUUAUUUUUAACAAAGGUUGAAUGUUAUUUCACAAGUUUCAUAAAAUGCCCCCAAUUUCUUAUGAAAUUGGUUUUUAGUCAGUGGGGGCAAAAAUUCUGCUAUUUUUGCACUCUCACAUCUGUCAAGGGUUACCAUAUUAAAAGUUAUAACUGAGCCGUCAUUUUAUGGUCACAAUAUUGAAAUGCAGGUGCUGCCGGACAGAUGCCAUUAGAUAUUAAAUGUUUCAUCACAGUGAAUGUGGCAGCAUGCUGCUUGUGUGGUUAUCACAAAGUCCCUUGAUAUCUGAAUAUUUUGCUUAGACAUUUUUCUUAAAUUUGACUCCACAAUCUAACACACACACACUCACCUACACAUACACCCUUCUUAGAUCUCAUCCACACUUGUCGGCUGCAUCUUUCACAGUCUAAAUUUAGCUUACCAGAUUUAAUUCAAUAAACCACCUGUCUUCUCUUGCAGUCACCUCACUGCUUCAAGGUUUUCUUCUUAGCAUUUGCAUAGUAA
ensembl:lncRNA